GAUGAACGCUGGCGGCGUGCCUAAUACAUGCAAGUCGAGCGAACAGACGAGGAGCUUGCUCCUCUGACGUUAGCGGCGGACGGGUGAGUAACACGUGGAUAACCUACCUAUAAGACUGGGAUAACUUCGGGAAACCGGAGCUAAUACCGGAUAAUAUAUUGAACCGCAUGGUUCAAUAGUGAAAGACGGUUUUGCUGUCACUUAUAGAUGGAUCCGCGCCGCAUUAGCUAGUUGGUAAGGUAACGGCUUACCAAGGCAACGAUGCGUAGCCGACCUGAGAGGGUGAUCGGCCACACUGGAACUGAGACACGGUCCAGACGCCUACGGGAGGCAGCAGUAGGGAAUCUUCCGCAAUGGGCGAAAGCCUGACGGAGCAACGCCGCGUGAGUGAUGAAGGUCUUCGGAUCGUAAAACUCUGUUAUUAGGGAAGAACAAAUGUGUAAGUAACUAGGCACGUCUUGACGGUACCUAAUCAGAAAGCCACGGCUAACUACGUGC
rnacentral:rRNA from 1 species